UACGGGGGGGCAAGCGUUGUUCGGAAUUACUGGGCGUAAAGGGUUUGUAGGUGGCCCGCUAAGUCACACGUGAAAUCCCUCAGCUUAACUGGGGAACUGCGUGUGAGACUGGCAGGCUCGAGGGCAGGAGAGGAACGCGGAAUUCCAGGUGUAGCGGUGAAAUGCGUAGAUAUCGGGAGGAACACCGGUGGCGAAGGCGGGACUCUGGGCCGAGUACGUGACGCUGAGGAGCGAAAGCGUGGGGAGCAAACAGG
rnacentral:rRNA from 1 species